rnacentral:snRNA from 1 species
GGCUGUGAGGGCGAACUGGCUACGACCUUUGUCACCUCAAUGAUCACCAGGAUUGAUUUGGGUGAUCUGGCUGACUAAGCGUGUGUCCCCUUCCUCCCUCACCACUCCAUGUGCAUCCUUCCAGAAGCUUCCAUAUUCAAUAGAAGAGGACAACCAUCCCAAAAAGGAGUGUACCAUUCUUCAGUCAAGGCAGGGUAUAGACAUUUUUAAAGUGCUUUUUCUAUAAGGAACUGGAUCUAAAGUUCAUGUGAAUGGAAGAGUUUACUGCUCACUAAGUCAUCCUAGUGUAGGAAUGGGGAAAGAGGCUUUUACCUAUUCAUU